GAUGAACGCUAGCGGCAGGCCUAAUACAUGCAAGUCGAGGGGCAACGGGUGUAGCAAUACAUGCUGGCGACCGGCGCACGGGGUGCGUAACACGUAUGUAAUCUACCCUUUACUGGAAGAUAGCCCGGAGAAAUUCGAAUUAAUACUCCAUAAGACUAUAACAUGGCAUCAUGAAGUAGUUAAAGAUUUAUCGGUAAAGG
rnacentral:rRNA from 1 species